AUUGAACGCUGGCGGCAGGCCUAACACAUGCAAGUCGAACGGUAACAGGAAGAAGCUUGCUUCUUUGCUGACGAGUGGCGGAUGGGUGAGUAAUGUCUGGGAAACUGCCUGAUGGAGGGGGAUAACUACUGGAAACGGUAGCUAAUACCGCAUAACGUCGCAAGACCAAAGAGGGGGACCUUCGGGCCUCUUGCCAUCGGAUGUGCCCAGAUGGGAUUAGCUAGUAGGUGGGGUAACGGCUCACCUAGGCGACGAUCCCUAGCUGGUCUGAGAGGAUGACCAGCCACACUGGAACUGAGACACGGUCCAGACUCCUACGGGAGGCAGCAGUGGGGAAUAUUGCACAAUGGGCGCAAGCCUGAUGCAGCCAUGCCGCGUGUAUGAAGAAGGCCUUCGGGUUGUAAAGUACUUUCAGCGGGGAGGAAGGGAGUAAAGUUAAUACCUUGGCUCAUUGACGUUACCCGCAGAAGAAGCACCGGCUAACUCCGUG
rnacentral:rRNA from 1 species